rnacentral:rRNA from 1 species
GAUGAACGCUGGCGGCGUGCCUAAUACAUGCAAGUCGAGCGAACGGACGAGAAGCUUGCUUUUCUGAUGUUAGCGGCGGACGGGUGAGUAACACGUGGAUAACCUACCUAUAAGACUGGGAUAACUUCGGGAAACCGGAGCUAAUACCGGAUAAUAUUUUGAACCGCAUGGUUCAAAAGUGAAAGACGGUCUUGCUGUCACUUAUAGAUGGAUCCGCGCUGCAUUAGCUAGUUGGUAAGGUAACGGCUUACCAAGGCAACGAUGCAUAGCCGACCUGAGAGGGUGAUCGGCCACACUGGAACUGAGACACGGUCCAGACUCCUACGGGAGGCAGCAGUAGGGAAUCUUCCGCAAUGGGCGAAAGCCUGACGGAGCAACGCCGCGUGAGUGAUGAAGGUCUGCGGAUCGUAAAACUCUGUUAUUAGGGAAGAACAUAUGUGUAAGUAACUGUGCACAUCUUGACGGUACCGAAUCAGAAAGCCACGGCUAACUACGU